GCCAGGCGCUGUGGUGCAUGCCUGUAGUCCCAGCCACUCGGGAGGCUGAGACUGAAGGAUCGCUUGAGUCCAGGAGUUCUGGGCUGUAGUGUGCUAUGCCAAUCGGGUGUCUACACUAAGUUCGGCAUCAAUAUGGUGACCUCCCAGGAGCGGGGGACCACCAGAUUGCCUAAGGAGGGGUGAAGUGGCUCAGCUCAGAAACAAGCAGUCAAAACUCCCGUGCUGAUCAAGUGGAUCAGGCCUGUGAUAGCCACUGCAUUCCAGCCUAGCAACACAGUGAGGACCCCACCUCU
rnacentral:SRP_RNA from 1 species